rnacentral:rRNA from 1 species
UACAGAGGUCCCGAGCGUUGUUCGGAUUCACUGGGCGUAAAGGGUGCGUAGGUGGCAUGUUAAGUUUGAUGUGAAAGCUCAGGGCUCAACCCUGAAAUGGCAUUGAAUACUAGCGUGCUGGAGGUUUGGAGGGGGGACUGGAAUUCUCGGUGUAGCAGUGAAAUGCGUAGAUAUCGAGAGGAACACCAGUGGCGAAGGCGAGUCCCUGGACAACACCUGACACUGAGCCACGACGGCGUGGGGAGCAAACGGG